GGAACAACCAUCACAAGAGUCACUGGGUUUCAGGUGACAACAUUUGUUGACAUUUUAGGAGGCAAAGCCAUUGUGGAGUCGUGCAUGUGAAAAUUCAGCACUCAGAUGUUGAUCAUUUUCAGCUUAUGAUUAUUGCUAUGUUACAUAUCAAUAUACAUGAAAUGUUUUAACGUAUUUUAUUGAAGGAUUGCACUUCAUCUACCUCUACUUUUUCAUCUCCUUUCUCCCCCAGAUUG